rnacentral:rRNA from 1 species
AAGAAGUCGUAACAAGGUUUCCGUAGGUGAACCUGCGGAAGCUCACCAACCAACCCCGGCGCAGUACGCGCCAAGGAAUAGAAAAUGAAAAGGGCGUGCUUUUCUUUCGGAAGGCAUUGCCUUCUUUCAAGAAUCAAAACGACUCUCGACAACGGAUAUCUCGGCUCUCGCAUCGAUGAAGAACGCAGCAAAAUGUGAUACUUGGUGUGAAUUGCAGAAUCCCGUGAAUCUUCGAGUUUUUGAACGCAAGUGGCGCCCGAAGCCUUUCGGCCAAGGGCACGCCUGCCUGGGUGUCACGCAUACGUCGCCCCAUCCUCUGGACACCUCGGGAGUCAUGGGAGCAGAAGUUGGCCUCCUGUGUGCCUGGCGCAUGUGGUUGGCCCAAAAUGCAUGUUCGCGGCAAAUGAUAGCCAUGACGAUCGGUGGUUGUAAAGACCCUCUGAAAAAGUCGUGCGCUGUUCUUAGACGUCGGGACAUUCCUUGACCCUAGGGCGUCCUCAGGGCGCGCUCCGACCGCGACCCCAGGUCAGGCGGGACUACCCGCUGAG